CCCGUGACUCUGAGUAAAACAUAAAUGAAUCAAAACUUUCAACAACGGAUCUCUUGGUUCUGGCAUCGAUGAAGAACGCAGCGAAAUGCGAUAAGUAAUGUGAAUUGCAGAAUUCAGUGAAUCAUCGAAUCUUUGAACGCACAUUGCGCCCUCUGGUAUUCCGGAGGGCAUGCCUGUUCGAGCGUCAUUUCAACCCUCAAGCCUGGCUUGGUGAUGGGGCACUGCCUUCUAGCGAGGGCAGGCCCUGAAAUCUAGGGGCGAGCUCCACUAGGACCCCGAGCGUAGUAGUUAUAUCUCGUUCUGGAAGGCCCUGGCGGUGCCCUGCCGUUAAACCCCCAACUUCUGAAAAUUUGACCUCGGAUCAGGUAGGAAUACCCGCUGAACUUAAGCAUAUCAAUAAGCGGAGGAA
rnacentral:rRNA from 1 species